AACGAGCGCUGGCGGCUGGCCUAACACAUGCAAGUCGAACGCACAGCAAGGUGAGUGGCGCCCGGGUCAGUAACAUGUGGGAAAGUACCCUUUUAUUCGGAAUAACGUUUGGAAACGAACGCUAAUACCGGAUACGCCCUUAGGGGAAAGAUUUAUCGCAGAAGGCACGGCCCGCGUCUGAUUAGCAAGUUGGUGGGGUAAAGGCCUACCAAGGCGACGAUCAGUAGCUGGUAGAAGAGGAUGAUAAGCCACACUGGGACUGAGACACGGCCCAGACUCCUACGGGAGGCAGCAUUGGGGAAUAUUGGACAAUGGGCGCAAGCCUGAUCCAGCCAUGCCGCGUGAGUGAUGAAGGCCUUCGGGUUGUAAAGCUCUUUCGCUCGCGACGAUGAUGACGGUAGCGUGAGAAGAAGCCCCGGCUAACUUCGUGCCAGCAGCCGCGGUAAAAC
rnacentral:rRNA from 1 species